UUACGGAGACCUGAUCUUUUUGGUUGUGCUCUUGCUCAUGUUGGUGUUAUGGAUAUGCUUAGAUUUCACAAAUUCACUAUAGGUCAUAGAUGGACAUGUGACUUUGGCUGCUCAGAGAAGGAGGAAGAGUUCCAUUGGCUUAUCAAGUACUCGCCACUGCAUAAUGUUAGCAGACCAUGGGAGAUAAUUCGACCAAAAGUUUGACAUAUUGAGUAAAUGUGCAUAACAGUUCUGGCUCUAUAGGAACAUAUGUGUGAAGAAGACUCAAAAUUCAAUUUUAAAAUCUGAAAAUGUGUGGAAAUAAAACUAAUUUGAGUCUUUUAUGUUAUUUUCUAUUGCUACCAUGAUUAUUCUAAAUUACAAAUUAAUCAAGGUUUUAUUUUUAUUUUUGUAAUACUGUGUUUUAUGUGGAUUAUUUGGAGAGACCACAAUUGAAUAUCUUUUGAUGGCUGGAGGUUCCAUUUUAUGAGUUAAAAAGUAGAUUUAUUUAUUUUUAUGGUUGGUAUUUGGGGAGGGUUACCCAAGCAUUGGUCAAUUUUUAGAUUUUGUAGUCUUUUGGGAACUAUGGAAUUGUGUAGUUUUUGGUUGUAUAAAGGUGUGAUUAUCGUUUUAUGGUUUGUUUUAAUGAAUAUCUUUUAGUAAUACAAAUAAUAAAAACUUAAAAAAAUGAAAAGAAGAAAUAAUGAUGCGAUGGUAGGUUAUUACUUACUUAAUGCUUGUUCUAGAAGAGUUAAUUCAAUGAACAUGGUUUUUGGGUACAAUUUUAGAAGGAAUGUGAAAUUCUGCUUGUUCACUAUAAUGGAUGGGGAUCUGGAAUGGGGAUUUUGGUACAUAAGAUAACCUGACAAGUUGGGAUGAGGCAUUGUUUGCUCAGUCCUUGUGUCUUGUCUUGAUUAAUGAGUGUGGGCAUGAUGGUGGCUGCUAAAUAUGUCCUCUUAACUUAUUGGUGGCGAGUUCUGCAAAGAAGCUACAAUUACAUUGGUAUUUUGGUGAGUUGUUUGAAGCGGUGCUUCUUUCUUAAUUGCUUGAAAUUUUGGUUUAGUUAAGCUGCUGCUUUCAUUAAUUGCUCUUGAUUGAGUGUAUUUCUCACAGUUUCUUUUUUAGUUGUCAAUUUCAGUUUGUAGUAAAAAAUUUAUAUGAAUUCAUUUAAGUGGAUUAGGCAAGGAUCUCUCAUCUGAUUUUAAUACUAUGGGUUGCGCAAGCAAAUUUGAAAAUAAUGUAGAAGUAGUGGGAGCUAUGCCAAAAGAAAUCAGUGGGACCGGGCCCCAACAGUUUAAUGAGGGACUUCCAGUUCAAUAUGGAGAUUUCUUUGUGCUUUCUUUGGGAAAAGUUGAUACUAAACUGUCUUAUCAUAAUGGCAACCAGAUCUGGCCUGUAGGCUAUAAAUCCUGUUGGCAUGAAACUGCAAAAUUGGCACCAGAAGAUCAUGCUACUGCAUGGGAGGCAUUGAAGAUAGAUUCUGUGGACCUUCACAUACUAAAUCCAAAGUACCACUGGCCAUUUGAGUAUCUUUUGUUCUAGGAUAUUUUGAAGUGAGAAAGCAGCUGCAUCUGGAGUAUAAGGCUGAUUUUUGUGUGACCAGCUACCCAACAUGGGUCUGACUGGUGUUUGUGUUGGAUCCAGCAGGUUAAUUGACCUGGCUACCUUACUGAUGUGGAUCGUCACUGCAGUAUUUUCGAACUCCUAGUGAUAUGUGAAAUACCUUAUAGCAUAUUGUUGUUGGAAUUGAGUAAAUUGAAUCAUAUUACAAAGAUGAUAGACAAGAUGAACAUUGACAAACUCUCUGAUUUUCGCAAUGCAGCAAUCAGCUGAAUGCAAGCUGACAUGACAUCUCUGUUUGGAACUAUAACUUACCAGUCAAAUCAAUCUUCAAGUAUCUUCUUGGGCAAGCCUUUUUCCGCGAAGUUUCAAGGAGGAAGUACAUAGAGCCAACUCAAAGAUUAUAGGUUAUGCUAGAGGCUUGUUCCUCCGUCUCCUUGAGUUCCAAAGACAGCUCAAUGCAACAAAAGUUGGGUGAGCAGUUGAUUAACAUCUAAAGAACAACGUUGGAAACACAUACAAUAUUAGAGAAAUGUUGGAAAAGGCAAUGGCAACUCCUCCAACUGUUUCACCAAUAUGGUGUUCCCCAUUACUUGAGUUUUUAACAGGAAAAAUGCCAUUGAUAGUUUUAUUGUAAGCAGGGGGAACUAAAGCUUGUUGGAAGCCUUCAACCUGCUUCCCAGUGCUAUAAAGAGCACAUGAUUGGUUUUGCAAUUGUGUUGUACUCCCCCCCCCCCUUUUCUGCCCCCCCUUUUCUUUUUUUUUUUUAUGCCAGACAGAUUCAUAGAUAGCUUGAUUUUUUUUGUGCCGAACUUUUUUUUGCUGAGUUGUAAAGAGUACAUGAUUGAUCUGUUUAUUUUUUUUCUUCUUUUUUUGUGCAGAUUUGUUUUGUAAUAAUUUUCAACUUACUAAUGGGCAU